rnacentral:rRNA from 1 species
UGAGGGAUAUUGGUCAAUGGGGGGAAACCCUGAACCAGCAACGCCGCGUGAGGGAAGACGGUUUUCGGAUUGUAAACCUCUGUCCUCUGUGAAGAUAAUGACGGUAGCAGAGGAGGAAGCUCCGGCUAACUACGUGCC